rnacentral:rRNA from 1 species
GACGAACGCUGGCGGCGUGCCUAAUACAUGCAAGUAGAACGCUGAAGAGAGGAGCUUGCUCUUCUUGGAUGAGUUGCGAACGGGUGAGUAACGCGUAGGUAACCUGCCUUGUAGCGGGGGAUAACUAGUGGAAACGAUAGCUAAUACCGCAUAACAAUGGAUGACACAUUUCAUUUAUUUGAAAGGGGCAAUUUCUGCACUACAAGAUGGACCUGCGUUGUAUUAGCUAGUAGGUGAGGUAAUGGCUCACUUAGGCGUCGAGACCGAGCCGACCUGAGAGGGUGGGCGGCCAGACUGGGACUGAGACACGGCCCAUACUCCUACGGGAGGCAGCAGUAGGGAAACUGCAGCGAUGGGGGCAACACUGACCGAGCUACGCCGCGUGAGUGAAGAAGGUUUUCGGAUCGUAAAGCUCUGUUGUAAGUCAAGAACGGGUGUGAGCGUGGAAAGUUCACACUGUGACGGUAGCUUACCAGAAAGGGACGGCUAACUACGUG